rnacentral:rRNA from 1 species
GAUGAACGCUGGCGGCGUGCUUAACACAUGCAAGUCGAACGGUGAACGAGGGAGCUUGCUCCCUCCGGAUCAGUGGCGAACGGGUGAGUAACACGUGAGCAAUCUGCCCUGGACUCUGGGAUAAGCGUUGGAAACGACGUCUAAUACCGGAUACGAGGCGUGGGGGCAUCCCCAACGCCUGGAAAGAACUUCGGUCCAGGAUGAGCUCGCGGCCUAUCAGGUAGUUGGUGAGGUAACGGCUCACCAAGCCGACGACGGGUAGCCGGCCUGAGAGGGGGACCGGCCACACUGGGACUGAGACCCGGCCCAGACUCCUACGGGAGGCAGCAGUGGGGAAUAUUGCACAAUGGGCGCAAGCCUGAUGCAGCAACGCCGCGUGAGGGACGACGGCCUUCGGGUUGUAAACCUCUUUUAGCAGGGAAGAAGCGAAAGUGACGGUACUCGAGGAAUAAGUCACGGCUAACUACGUGCCAGCCGCCGCAGUAACAC